UACGUAGGGUGCAAGCGUUAUCCGGAAUCACUGGGCGUAAAGCGUGCGUAGGCGGGGGUUUAAGUGAAAUGUUAAAUCGUGUGGCUCAACCAUAUCGGAUGCAUCUCAUACUGGAUCCCUAGAGGAAGGCAGAGGCAAGUGGAAUUAGCAGUGUAGCAGUGAAAUGCGUAGAUAUUGCUAGGAACACCAAUGGCGAAGGCAGCUUGCUGGGCCUUUUCUGACGCUGAGGUACGAAAGCGUGGGGAGCGAACAGG
rnacentral:rRNA from 1 species